AUUGCGUUAUACUAAUUGGCGCCUCCAAGGAUGAGACAGUGGAAGUUGUAUGCGAGAUACAAGCGGAUCCUCCGCCACGAACAUUUCGCUGGAAAUUCAACAACUCUGGCGAAACUCUCGAUGUGGGCAGUGAACGAUUCAGCGUGAAUGGUAGCCGCAGCAUUUUAAAGUACACACCAGUCACUGAUCAGGAUUAUGGCACAUUGUCAUGCUGGGCAUCC
rnacentral:sRNA from 1 species